UGGGCCAGACGCAAGAGUGUUAUGUUACGAACAAUCCAAUUCCUGAUGAUGAUCGAGAUUGAAGAGUUAUGGAAAAUGAUCGAGUUUGAUUCAGAUCCAGGAGGAGCUAGGGUUGCUGUUUCGGUUAACCAGAUGAAUAAAUAGGGUUUUAUGUCGCAAAUGGAUUUGACGUUGUUUCCAUCAAUUGGGGAAAGGCAUCUCUCGUUGUUAGAAUACGUACAGUUGUAGCCCAUGUCCGCGUCCUAAUGAGCUUUGUUUCUAAUCAAGCUGAGGACGAGCUGCAUCAAGUGAUGAUGAUAAAAACCAGACUAAUAAAAUGGGUUCUUGAUUCUUUUGCACUGGGAUUUAGCUUCAUUCACCAAUAAUAAAUUUUCCAGAUGUUAUUAAUUGGUUUACUGAGAUGCCUUGUGAAUGCCCAGUCAAUGACAAAACUAAAUGGCCAGGAGUGCUGGUGAUGGUCGGAUUAAGAGCUAGACCGGAAGAAAAUGUAAAGACAACCAGAAAACUCCAUGGGAAACUUUUAUUAUGCGUUCACAUCAUUGUCGUUGGUGGAACGGUGUUUAGAAUGAGUGUACUGCAGUAAAUUUUUUUGUUUCAGAUGAUUGUCAAUGAUCGACAUGGUCUCAGACAGCUAGGAAUUAAUAGAUGCUGCAGAUUCCAAGUUGCAACCCGUUGUAGCAAAUUCUGGGAGGGUUUUAUGCAGAGAACAGAUAUGCAGACAGUAGGAGUUACGGAUGUCUUUGAUCAUGGCAGUACUCGCAACUAGGAGGAGUUGACAGUAUCUGCACUCACGUGUUCUCAAAACAAGCCAAAAAUCUCUUUGGACGCCUGUUAUCAACGUACAUAUUAAGCCUUAAAGAUUCCAGGCACGUAACAACGUUCCUUUGGACGACACUUCGGAUGACAAUGGGUCCAGGAGAAGAUGGAAUAUAAUCUCACAACAGGCACGUAACAACUUUUCUUUGGAUGCCAAUGGGUCCAGAAGAAGAUGGAAUACAAUCUCACGAGGGUGAUACUUUGCACAGUAGUUAGAGGAAGAGAUGGUUGUUAACUGGAUCGAGUUAGUGUUUAUACGUCUAAUUAAUCUACAUUGUUUUUCAAAGGUGUUAGAGUAUUGCUCGGUCAACCUCGCAUGCGUUGUUAUUUCAAGCAUGUUUGUCAAUGUUAGUGAUCAAAACUAUAAGUCUUGAUUUCUAGUCUAUUAUAACUAAGUCUCGGA